rnacentral:rRNA from 1 species
UACGUAGGGACCAAGCGUUGUUCGGAUUUACUGGGCGUAAAGGGCGCGUAGGCGGCAAUUCAAGUCAGCUGUGAAAUCUCCGGGCUUAACUCGGAACGGUCAGCUGAUACUGUUUUGCUAGAGUGCAGAAGGGGCAACUGGAAUUCUCGGUGUAGCGGUGAAAUGCGUAGAUAUCUGGAGGAACAUCGGUGGCGAAGGCGGCAUCCUGGACCGAUAUUGACGCUGAUGAGCGAAAAGCUAGGGGGAGCAAACGGGG